rnacentral:rRNA from 1 species
AUUGAACGCUGGCGGCAGGCCUAACACAUGCAAGUCGAGCGGAUGAAGGGAGCUUGCUCCUGGAUUCAGCGGCGGACGGGUGAGUAAUGCCUAGGAAUCUGCCUGGUAGUGGGGGAUAACGUCCGGAAACGGGCGCUAAUACCGCAUACGUCCUGAGGGAGAAAGUGGGGGAUCUUCGGACCUCACGCUAUCAGAUGAGCCUAGGUCGGAUUAGCUAGUUGGUGGGGUAAAGGCCUACCAAGGCGACGAUCCGUAACUGGUCUGAGAGGAUGAUCAGUCACCCUGGAACUUGGACACGGUCCAGACUCCUACGGGAGGCCGCAGUGGGGAAUGUUGGACAGUGGGCGAAAGCCUGAUCCAGCCAUGCCGCGUGUGUUAAGAAGGUCUUCGGAUUGUAAAGCACUUUAAGUUGGGAGGAAGGGCAGUAAGUUAAUACCUUGCUGUUUUGACGUUACCAACAGAAUAAGCACCGGCUAACUUCGUG